rnacentral:lncRNA from 1 species
GGAUCGGUGAUGCGGUAUGUUGUUGAGAUUAAGGUAUCAGCAUGGGACAGUUCUGACCCGAGAAACAGUGCGUUUAAUAAGAGCAAGAUGGGCAUCCACCCCAUGUUUGACAACGAAGAGGAUCUCUGCUUUGUGCGCCUUCAGGGCAGCAACAAGCGGUGCACUCUGCAAGACGUCGCUGACAUGACCCAUCAAGAAGUUAGAGGUUACUACUGCUCCAAGACAGGCAUUCAAAAGCCCCUAGAGUAAACCUUGACGGGCACCGCAUAGCAUUAGGUAGUACGUUGCAUUGCCAGUAGAGCUUCACAUGCCCCACCUGUGAAGAAAAAGGCCUUGAGGAAGAUUUUUCUGCAGUACUUCAAUCAAAUAUACUUGAGGCCAUUGCUUCCUGAGGCAUCGAAUGUUGUGCUUUGCAUUUUUAUGCUGCAUUCCAUUGUAUAUGAUCCUUGGCACCAGUCUGACCCGGUGACCUCAGACUAAUUAAAGUAUUCAUAUUAAGAGGUAGCUCUGUGACAUUUUAACUUAAGUAUAAGAAAUUAAGUUUAUGAUUACUGAAACCAAUAAGGAACUGUAUAUCACAGAGUGUGACCAGAGUGGCCACAAGCUAGUCGUGCCUAGUCAAUGGUACUCUUUCAGUUGUGAAAUUCUAGUCUUAGGUACCUUAGCAUAUUAUAGAUUUUCGAAACCUAUGCUGUUCACAUGCAAAAAAAAAAGAAAAAUAACACCCCGUCUUCAUGCUUCCAGGAGUAUUUUAUACAUUGCUAACUUGCUCAAUUUUGUGUUGUGAUGAUGGAAGUAGCUUGCAAAGGGCAGUUUUAUUAAAAAGUUUGAAAUUUUCCCAAAAUGCAUAUCAAAUUUUAACGUACAAUCCGUUUAACAUAAAUUUGGCAUAUCUUAUUUUCACGUUAAACAUUUUACCUCUUGUGCAAGGUUGUGCUAUGCGAGAUGUAUAUCCUGGUUUGCUUUAAAAAGACCGUUCACUUGUAAACCAACAUGAGACCUGCAAAUUUAUACCCUUUAUAUAUUAAAUGCAUAGCAUUUAGGAUAAUUAUUUUGCAAACCAUAGAUAUUGUGAUUUAAGGCAAAAGGAAUUUUGUGUUUACAAGUACAACCUCUUAUUAAAGCUCUACUCGCAGACCUCGCAGCUCUACUUCUCCAAUAGUCUAGAUUAUUCAGAUCCUCUCCACAAAAUCAACAAUGUGACAUUUGUAUAUUGUACAGUUGACUUUAGCUGGAACUUCAGUGCCUGUGCCUGAUGACAGUGUUUUGGCAGUAUAAGGUAUACAUUAUUGGUAAAUACUAAACAUAUUGUGUACUUCUUCCAUCACCUUGCGAUUCCUGCAGUGUCUGCAGUACUGCGGACUCACCUUUUCCUUAGCAUCUCCAUUACGUAGUCCUUCCCCCGACUUUCUCUUGCCACUUAGCGCAAGGAUCACCUUGGUGUUGUCUGCCAUUGCCGCCAAAGAACGAAUUCACUUGGAACGUGUUCAUGAACAUUUUAAAGAACUAAAGAGUUGUGCAUCAAAAUGAGAUCACAGGUGUGAAAUAAAAUAAUGUUUUGUGUGU